GCGGAUGUGAUGGAAUUGGUAGACAUGCCAGACUUAGGAUCUGGUGCCGCGAGGCGUGGGGGUUCGACUCCCUUCAUCCGCA
rnacentral:tRNA from 2 species